CGGGAUCUUGGGGGCGAGAUGAGUUUGAUCAGAAUCCAACUGGCCCGCAAAGUCCCGCU
ensembl:miRNA